CAACCCUCAAGCUCUGCUUGGUAUUGGGCACCGUCCUUUGCGGGCGCGCCUCAAAGACCUCGGCGGUGGCGUCUUGCCUCAAGCGUAUAGAACAUACAUCUCGCUUCGGAGCGCAGGGCGUCGCCCGCCGGACGAACCUUCUGAACUUUUCUCAAGGU
rnacentral:rRNA from 1 species